UACGUAGGGGGCAAGCGUUAUCCGGAAUUACUGGGUGUAAAGGGAGCGUAGACGGUAAUGUAAGUCUGGAGUGAAAGGCCGGGGCCCAACCCCGGGACCGCUCUGGAAACUGCCCGGCUGGAGUGCGGGAGAGGUAAGCGGAAUUCCUAGUGUAGCGGUGAAAUGCGUAGAUAUUAGGAGGAACACCAGCGGCGAAGGCGGCUUACUGGAUCGUGACUGACGUUGAGGCUCGAAAGCGUGGGGAGCAAACAGG
rnacentral:rRNA from 1 species